UACGUAGGGUCCAAGCGUUGUCCGGAUUUAUUGGGCGUAAAGAGCUCGUAGGUGGUUCGCUAAGUCGGAUGUGAAAACUCGGGGCUCAACCCCGAGACGCCAUCCGAUACUGGCGUGACUUGAGUCUGGUAGGGGAGAUCGGAAUUCCUGGUGUAGCGGUGAAAUGCGCAGAUAUCAGGAGGAACACCGGUGGCGAAGGCGGAUCUCUGGGCCAGUACUGACACUGAGACGCGAAAGCGUGGGGAGCGAACAGG
rnacentral:rRNA from 1 species